rnacentral:rRNA from 1 species
UACAGAGGGGGGCGAGCGUUUAUUCGGAAUUAUUGGACGUAAAGGGCGCGUAGGCGGCUUUGCAAGACAGAUGUGAAAUCCCCGGGCUCAACCUGGGAACUGCAUUUGUGACUGCACGGCUGGAGUGCGGCAGAGGGGGAUGGAAUUCCGCGUGUAGCAGUGAAAAUGCGUAGAUAUGCGGAGGAACACCGAUGGCGAAGGCAAUCCCCCUGGGCCUGCACUGACGCUCAUGCACGAAAGCGUGGGGAGCAAACAGG